rnacentral:SRP_RNA from 1 species
GCUGGGUGUGGUGGCGUGUGCCUGUAGUCUCAGCUACUUGGGAGGCUGAGGCACAGGAAUCGCUUGAACCCAGGAGGCAGAGGUUGCAGUGAGCCGAGAUUGUGCCACUGCACUCCAGCCUGGGUGACAAAGUGAGACUCUGUCUCAA